AUUGAACGCUGGCGGCAUGCCUUACACAUGCAAGUCGAACGGGUGCAGCAAUGCACCAGUGGCAGACGGGUGAGUAACACGUGGGAACCUUCCUAGGGGUACGGAACAACUCAGGGAAACUUGAGCUAAUACCGUAUACGCCCCGGAGCAAUCCGGGGGAAAGAUUCAUCGCCCCUACGACGGGCCCGCGUCGGAUUAGGUAGUUGGUGGGGUAACGGCCUACCAAGCCUACGAUCCGUAGCNGAUCUGAGAGGAUGAUCAGCCACACUGGGACUGAGACACGGCCCAGACUCCUACGGGAGGCAGCAGUGGGGAAUCUUGGACAAUGGGCGCAAGCCUGAUCCAGCCAUGCCGCGUGAGUGAAGAAGGCCUUCGGUUGUAAG
rnacentral:rRNA from 1 species